rnacentral:lncRNA from 1 species
CCAUCCCUGCAGACUACUCAUGACCACUUUGCUUCUGUAAUUGAGUGCAACCACCUUGGUGGUCUAAACCACAUCGAUCUAUUGCUUCAACCUGCGAUUGUACCCGUCCCCUUUGACCCAUAACAGAGCCUAAAAUGUUCUGUAAAUUAAAGAGAUGCUCCUUAUGUGUACCUAAAUAUUCUCCAUGGAUCUUCUGUUGUUCAGAUUGCAUAAGUCGGUCAACUCGAAUUCCUACUGUCUCUGCUUCUUGCACCGGAACUUUCGGUCGAACUUCUUAGGGGGCUACAGGCCUCUAGACCUCCUUCACCGUUGAAGUAGAUUUGCCAACAUGAUGACCUGGUGCAUAUAACUAUUUAUUUCUCAAGUUCAUUUAUUGCCACACCCCCUUCUCAUACAAUCAUUUUGGAUUGAGGGGGAGACUCGGAGUCAGGAGAGCUGCUUUUUGCCACUGCUUUAGGCGGUGAUCUUUUUCGCUUUUCCUUAAUGACCCCUGCUGCUCCAAAAGAUUCUACUUUUGCUGAAGAAGAUGAACUGAUAUCCAUAGGUUGGUUGCACCAAGGAACCCUCUUCCUCCUCCAUCAUGGGUGCAAACUGAGAUCCCUCUUGAUGAUCCAUUCUUUUUUCUAGGGAUCUUGCCUUCCCCGAGUUACCUGCGUUAGCCAAUUGUUUCUGCUGUAUCCAAGACCCAACCUUGCUUCCUGCUUCAUUGAGGAUGAGGACCUCCCCGGACGCGCUGACCCAUUAUUUCCCACUGAAACUUUAGAUGCCCUGAUCCAUGGUCCAUAUAUAGCUCUUU